GCUAGAAACAUUCAUUUGAGGGACAAGUUUUUUCGGACGGAGGGAGUAUUUGAUACAAGUGCAAAUAUAUUUGGUUAAGUAUCACUAGUAUAACUGAGUUUCAGAGAAGACUAAGCUAUGCCUCAUCUGUUGCAUAUCUAAUAGCAACCUACCAGUUAAAUGAUGGCAGUAUGUUCUUCUGCAGAUUUCUAUUGAUUAUGCAUAUCAUUAGUAUAAUUUAUGUGGAGUCAAGACAUAUAAAAUGUCAUUUUAUAAGCAUUCCUAAUCCUACUAAAGAUGCCAUCUAUGAGAACCCCACAUGCCAAUGAUGCAAUGUGUCCAGUCUGAAUUCACUUCUCAUUUGGUUUUGCUGGUUACAUCUCAAUGCAGGCAUUUCACCUGAGGGCUACCGCACUCUAGAAUUAGUUUGAGCUCAGUUCUUGGAUCUUAUUACUCACAUGUAUUCUUUUUGCGGGUUUAUUGAACUACAGCUUAGCAGAGAAGUCUAUACUGAAACCCCACUGAUUUGUAUAAACUGAUUGCAUCGUGUGUUAUCUUGUCUGUGGUUGCAGCCAUUAUCAGAUCAGGGUGGUCUUGUGUGGUGAGCGAACCAUGGAUAUUAUAGCUCUAACAGGAGGAAACUUGCUCCACGAUUUUCCUUGAAACCUUAAUAGGACCACAGCUACAUAGAACACAGGAGUGAAACAAUCCAUUGUCCAGCAGCUCCUUUGACGGCAACCGGAUUGGCAUUCUGGUUAAGACCUACUGUACUAAGGUUACUGCGGUCAUGACCACGUUGAGACUUCAGGAUAAAGUCCGUGUGGUCAAGAGCAUCCCAGUCCAAGCCAAAGUGCCAAGUUACUUCGUCUGGACAUCUUCAAAAAGAAGGUGAGAUUGCCAUGUUGUAUUUCUCCCUGAUUUUUCCUUUUUUGGCGCCUAGACUGCAGCGUUGUCAGUUUACCAUCACCAUAGUUAAGCUUAGCCCUUCGCAAUGGUUGUGGUAUUCUUCAUGUACAUACAACUGUAUGUUUUAGCAGUACCAGUAGCUUUGCAGCGAGCUACCAUCUAUGCCUUGUCCAAAAAUUAUUAGUUUCUGCCCCUGGCACCACUGUAGACUGUUUAUUUGGUCUGCAUUCAUCUUACACCUAUUGAAGGAAAUUUAGUUUGGCAGGCAGGCAUCCACUAAAUUGGGUUUCCUUUAUAUAUUUAUAUUGCAGUCGACACUCAUCACGGUAGUUACAUUAUCUAUGUAUGCACAAAGCGGAUGGCCUGCCGAAACGCCCUCUGAGGGCCAGGUAAAUAUGGUGGUCAAAGAUGCUGCAAACCCAGGGGCUAGGGAGCGUCUGCGAUAGGAUUUGGCAGCUACUAUGCCUGCUGAAACGCCGCGAAAGCCUCAUCUGCUAGGUAUAUAUGUCUGGUUCUGUUGUAAGGAUUCAUCGUUAUUUUGAUCUUAGGUUGGUAUUUAAUUUCGUCCAAAGUAGGGUAGCAUAAAGAAUCACCGGCCUGAACCCUUGUGCACCGAGCCCUGUCUGCUGCAGACGCAAUCAACACAGCUAUUUUCUAGUGCGCAUCUCCUGGUUUGAACCAUUUUGCGUGUCACGGAUUUAUGCUCUUGUGUUCUUAAGGUUCAUAUUACCCUCUGUCCUCUUUACAGGAAACUAACUCUCCUUAUGUCACCGGGGAAACACACAAGUGGACAGGCCAUUCUGUUGUCUGAAAUCUGACCUUAUCUAUCAAUACCAUCGUGUAAUCAGUGACAUGUGGCGCCACUUAUCCGCUGCCCCAUUGUUUCUUUCUGCCUUUACGAUUCACACCCAGGCCAUGUCUUGUGUCUCCGCAGCACAUCAUUUUCUCAAAAUCAAACAUUUAUUUUCACUAGAGCAUUUUCUCAGGAUUACAAAAUGAUGAACCCACCAAAUUAUUCUCCGGAGAAGCAGGUGGUGCCCCCUACCUAGCAUCAUGGAACAGAGUGAGAUAGGUUUACCCGCACUGAACUUCACAGCAUCGUCGACUUGAACUGACUGUAGCAUGGUGCUAAUUUCGUGCAUGGUCAGUGGUAUACUCUGACACUUAACCUCGGCUUGCUCAUUUUCAUGGUUUGGUCAAGGGUGCAAAUUCAAACAACUGAUGUUGUUAUUGAUAUAGAAAACUCACCAUGUUUCGAGAUGGAAGCCUGAAAACUAAUCUAUGCUCUCCAGGGCUGGGUUUUUGUCAUCAGGGACUAUACACGGUUCAUGCGCUGGCUUCUGGGGCUGUUCACAGCAGUUGGCCAGACUUAAUGUGUCUCUGGAAAUACAUAUUAUUAGAUAACAUAACUAGAUGAGACGAGACUCACGAAAAUGUUUGUUUGGAUAUUUACAGGGAACUUGUAUGAUAUUUCUGACAAUGAUUUCUGUUUUAUGCUAUAUUGAGUUGUAUAUUUUCUCUUGCUUGAACAAGCUGAAGAACUUGCCUAACUGUACAACUGACUGACAUCCCUUGGAUCGGUUAGACUCGUUUCUAUGCUUACACUAAUCUUCAGAUGUACUCUGAUCAGAAUUUCUGCUUUCCACUUUAAUUACUCCCUCCGUUUCAAGAAGGAAUUACUAACCUUUGGAGAAACGUCCCAUGGUCUGUUUAGGGAGAUGACUUAUUUGUACCAGGAAGGAAUUGCUGGUGUUGUAUUAUUUUACCUGUUCAGGGGAAUGCAUGUGCAGCUGCAGCUCCUGGCUCUAGUUGAACCUAUGGUAAUAAACUGAGUAACUGACAAUGGAGGAGUCCGUUCAUGACCAUCUUAUUACUCAAACUCUUGACUUUGUAUAUCCUUCUUUGGUUAAAGAUCUGUGGCUACCUGGACAAAAAGUUUGGAAUAAUGAGCUUGUUCUCUCUCUUUUUCAGCAGCCCAUGGCCUCAGUUAUUAUCCAAACUGAUAUUAUUGAUGAUGAGGGCCCAGAUUUGCUUUGUUGGGACCUUUCUUCUAAUGGCAUUUGUUCUUCUAAAUCGGCUUACAAGCUUUGUUUGCAGGAAAUCCAAGCUAACCCCAGGAAUGCUCCUACAGUACUUUCUUUGCAGCUCAAGGACCUUCUUAUGUUAAUUUGGAAGCAAAAGAGUGUGCUCCCAAGGGUGAAAACUUUUGCCUGGAGACUGGAGGGCUUUACCUACAUGUUUGCGGGCUGGACGUUUUUCGGUUCACAUAUCUCAGAAUUGUUGUAUGUGCGGCCAUCAGGAGGACGAGCUUCAUUUGUUCUUUCUUUGUCAUUUUGCUCGAGCGGCUUGGUUUUCCUCUCCUUGGUUCCUUAGAUCGUACAUAUUAGUCCACGGGCAUUCAACUAUGCAUUCUAUUCUUAUUGCUUUACUUAGCAUGAGGCACCCUUAUGGUUCCAUCUCUAAUAUUCUCAAUUUUUUGUGGUGUCUUUGGAAGGCUAGAAAUGGUUAUCUUUUUGAUAGGAAUAGGGCUCUUCCUUAUCAGGUGCAUGUUGCUGCUACAGCUUUGUCCCUGGAUUCUGGUAAUCACAUGUCUUAUUUAUCUAAGGUCCAAAAAUAUUUUCUGAUGCAGCUUUUAGGACUGCCAAAGUUCCAGGAUUACUUCCAGGAACAGUUGCUACUGGAGUUGGUAUUUAUCUGUCGGUGCCCUAUGAUCAAAUAGAAGUUAAUGUGCAAAUUCAAGCCUCAGCACCUUCCACAGAUUCUCCUCUUCAUGCAGAAGCUUUGGCCCUUUCUUUUGCUGCUCAAGUAGCUUCGAAACUCAACAUUGCUAGCCCAGCCUUUCUCAUGGACUGCCUCUCUCUCGCUUUGGUGGUUGCCUCUGGUAAGAUUAGGGAUUCUCAUACCCCUUGGAGCAUUCGCAAGCCUUUGGCUGAGUUUUUCAGGCACACUGCUGAUAUGAGAUCGCAAGUAUUCCAUAUAUCUAGAGAAGUGAAUGGAAUUGCUCAUAAUCUAGCUCAGCAGGUUUUUCGUCCGAAUAUGCAAUCUCAAGUUUGUUGUUUUGCUGCUGCUCAUAGGCACAGCUCUUGUCCUGUCGUGUCUCUUUUGUCCAGUUUUCAGGUUCCAGAGUUUACAAUACAUGCGGUUUAUUGCUAGUGAGCAAAGGGGUGAGGUUUAAGGCCACUAAAUGAUGCAAUGCAAUCUUCAGGCUUCUUCGGCCUUCCUCUCAAGCCUGGGCUUUUUCUUCUUCAGAAUAAAAUGCAAGUCUCAGUCGUUCCUUCUUGCUUAUCUGUAGAAAGAUCUUGCUGUCCCAAACCUUGUAGUUCAUCAGGUUGUGUCUCUCUAAAACCUGUCACUUCUGGUCUCUCUUUCAGCUCUUUGUUCAUCAGCUGUAUUAUCUGAUCUCUAUGUUCUCUCAGCUGCAUGCAUGAUCAGCUUGCUGUAAAUCUUGAUGUAAGAACACUUUUGAGCUAAAUGAAGUUGGCACCUUCUGGUGCCUUUUGUUGUUCAAACAUAAAAUAAAAUGGAAGA